rnacentral:lncRNA from 1 species
GUUGGACUAAGGGGCAUUUUUAUCCCAAAAUUUCAACCCAAGAUCAUUGCUCUGGGAUGAUAUUCUGUCCUUGAAGAUAGGUUUAAGAUCAAUGGAUUGGAUGGUGAUUUUAAAAAUAGAGGUGAUUUGGGAUCAUUGCCAUGUAGGAUCACUCAAGUACAACCAAACAUGGUGAUUUCAUUGCCUCCAUUCACAUCACCCUUGAUCUUGAGGGCAUCACCCCCCGCCUACAUGUCUCACUCCACAUUGAGAAUCAAAAAAUCUUGGAACAUCUGCAUCUAAUGCAGAUCCAGUUCCUUGUUUUUGCAACACAAACUUACAUUUUUUAUCUCACUAAAUCAUACACGAAAUUAAAGUUAAGACAUUUUUUUAAAUUCAUUAAGAUAUAGGUAAUUUCAAUAUCCAACACUGCUCAUAAUAUGACAAAAAGAGAGCAAUAUAGGAUAUCGCUAAUCACUUGAACAAUAAAAGCAUGAAAGGACAUUAAUUCAUGAUCCGUUUCAGUCCUUACAGAAAUGUUCGAGAACAGCCAAGGUACAAUGAAACACAACCAAAUGUAUAAAAGCUGAGGCAUAACACUUGGAGUAUAAGGACACUGUUCUAAAGAUCUCUCCAUGUCAAUGACGGACACCCACCUGAGGCAAGGUAGCCUAUACAGUUUAGCCCAAAUGCAACGCGGAUGCCUAGGCAGCUCACCUAACUUGGUCCUAACUAGGAAUUGAUUCUCCCCCCUGACGGUAGCUGCUACAAUCAGCAGCAGGGACUUGCUGCUGUUGUACCCAACAGAACAAAAAAAUGAUGGGAGACGAGAGAGAGAGAGAGAGAGAGAGAGAGAGAGG